rnacentral:rRNA from 1 species
AUUGAACGCUGGCGGCAUGCCUUACACAUGCAAGUCGAACGGCAGCACGGGUGCUUGCACCUGGUGGCGAGUGGCGAACGGGUGAGUAAUACAUCGGAACAUGUCCUGUAGUGGGGGAUAGCCCGGCGAAAGCCGGAUUAAUACCGCAUACGAUCUACGGCUGAAAGCGGGGGACCUUCGGGCCUCGCGCUUUAGGGUUGGCCGAUGGCUGAUUAGCUAGUUGGUGGGGUAAAGGCCUACCAAGGCGACGAUCAGUAGCUGGUCUGAGAGGACGACCAGCCACACUGGGACUGAGACACGGCCCAGACUCCUACGGGAGGCAGCAGUGGGGAAUUUUGGACAAUGGGCGAAAGCCUGAUCCAGCAAUGCCGCGUGUGUGAAGAAGGCCUUCGGGUUGUAAAGCACUUUUGUCCGGAAAGAAAUCCUUGGCCCUAAUACGGUCGGGGGAUGACGGUACCGGAAGAAUAAGCACCGGCUAACUACGUG